GAGUAAGUAAGCAUUAUUGGUUCUAUAGUUAAUGAGAAAGUGUUUAUAAAAUGAUAUGUUUAUUAGGUGAAAUUUUAAUUUUCUAUUAUUUAUAUUGUGUGAAGCUAUGAAAUUUAUAUUAAAAACAAGGAUUAGAUACCCUUUUAUUAUAAAAGUGAAUUUUUAAAGCCAGGGUAGUAUUAGUUAUGUUCUUUAAACCCAGAGAAUUUGGCGGUAUUUUAGUCCUUUCAGAGGAAUCUGUCCCGUAAUCGACAGCCCACGUGAAGUGUUUACCUAGUUUUGUUUAUCAGUUUGUAUACCUCCGUCAUAAGAGAAUCUUUUUAGAGUUAAAUUUUCUUAAUAUAUUUGUUAUACUAUGUCAGGUCAAGGUGCAGCUUAUAAUUAGGAGGAGAUGGAUUACAAUAUUUAUAUGUAUACGAAGUAAAAUAAUUGUCUUUUUUAUGAAGGUGGAUUUGAUAGUAAUUUUAAUUAUUUAUUAUUGUGAUUUUGGCUCUAAAAUAUGCACACAUCGCCCGUCGCUCUCAUUUUUAAAAUGAGAUAAGUCGUAACAUAGUAGGUGUAUCGGAAGAUGUACCUAGUAAGU
rnacentral:rRNA from 1 species